rnacentral:lncRNA from 1 species
GACACCUUACACACAUAAAUACAAUGGGGAGUGUCACACCUGCAUCUCUCUGAAGAUGCAGUGGACAAGGAAGACGCGUGGGCCAUCGAGCCUUGUAAGCAUGGACCCACGGGCCAGGGCGUGAGUGGAUGUAUUUAGCCUAGUGGAGACAGCGAGAGGGCAUGCGUGUUGUAUGAGCUCUCUGAAACUCACCUACCUCUCUCUGCUCUCACCUGUAUCUCUCUGUAUCGCACCUUCUUCUUUUGUAAGGAAAUCAACAAGGCUCCGAUCUCUCAUCCCCUUCUCUGGUUUUGAUCCUCGAUCUUCCUGGGUUGUUACAACUGGUAUCGGACGCCUUCUGCAGUGCGCUCAAGGAGGAGUUUGGCCCGGAUGAAUUUGAGCUCGAAAUGCACAAGCUGCUGCAGCUUCGUCAGAUUGGAACCGUGGCUGAAUACCGUCUGGCGUUUGAGACACACAUGUACCAUCUGCUGGCGUUCGACGCGUCCCUCAGUACCAAAUUCUUCGUCACUCAGUUCCUCCUUGGCCUCCGUGAUGAUCUCAGGGCAGCAGCUCGCCUCCAGUCCCCUUCCAGCAUCACUCGCGCAUCGGUGCUCGCGCGCAUCCAGGAGGAGGAAGCAGACCAACAUCGACCACGCGCACGCCUCAUUCCGGCAGGGUGGCCACCACCACCACCUUUGGCGAUUCCAGCUCGUCCUCCCGGGGCACCUCGCCCGGUGGGAGCAGUUCCAGCAGCUGCCGUUGACAACUUCGCGCGCGAGCGGCAACUGCGCGACCGUCGCCGCGCCCAUGGUCUGUGUUUCAAAUGCGGCGACAGAUACUCACGGGAGCAUCGCUGUAAACAGACAACACAGUUGCUCACAAUUCAGGUGGGUGAUCAUGGGGAAGUGCUCACGGAUGAAGCUAUUCAUGCGAUGGAACUGCUCGAUGAGCCCGCACCAGGAGCAGCCAAUCCAGAGUGUUGUGUCAUCUCGACGCAUGCUGUUUCCGAUGGUGAGACGCCGCGCACCAUCCGGCUCCGCGCCUUGGUGGGCAACCAGGUUAUGCUUCUGUUGGUUGAUUCCGGAAGCACGCACAGCUUCAUAUUGUCGACGUUUGCUGAGCGUAUUGCUGCAACAACUACGCCACUACCACCAGUGGAGGUCCGAGUGGCCAAUGACGAGCGGCUAACUUGUGACAAGCUCUUUCCCGGCGUCAAGUGGUGGUUGCAAGGGCAUACGUUCACGACGGACAUGCGCCAGUUACCGCUGGGUGCAUACGAUGGAGUGCUAGGCAUGGAUUGGCUGGAACAAUUCAGUCCUAUGAACUGCCACUGGCUGGAAAAGACACUCACUUUUGAGCACGAAGGCGCCACAGUCACGUUGCAAGGUGUUCGACAGCAGGAAACCCAGUCCUUGGAGAUGCUCGAGCCUGACCAAUUUCAGAAGUGGCACGCUGGCAAUGAAAUUUGGUACAUGGCUCUUGUUGACAGACUACCAGUACCAUCCCGCGAGAGGACCGACAAGUUGCCGGCGGGCAUUCAAGCAGUCAUUUCUGAUUACAGUGAUGUGUUUGGAGAUCCAAAGAAACUGCCACCACAUCGACAAUAUGAUCACGCCAUUACUCUGGUGGAUGACACGCAACCCACCAAUGCUCGACCCUAUCGGUACUCCCCUUUGCAGAAGGAUGAAAUUGAGCGCCAGGUACAAGAAAUGCUCGACGCGGGGGUGAUCGCACACAGCAUGAGCCCCUACGCAGCCCCAGUCCUGCUGGUUAAGAAGGACGGCUCCUGGCGAUUCUGUGUUGAUUAUCGUCGCCUGAAUGAUAUCACCGUGAAGAACCGUUUUCCCCUGCCGAUCGUCGAUGAGUUGCUUGAUGAGCUCGCUGGUGCAACCUAUUUCUCCAAGCUUGAUUUACGAGCGGGUUACCAUCAAAUCCGGAUGCGGGAAGGUGAUGAGGAGAAGACGGCUUUCAAAACCCAUCACGGGCACUUUCACUUCCGCGUCAUGCCAUUUGGCCUGACGAAUGCACCGGCAACAUUCCAGUGCCUCAUGAACCAGAUCUUCGCCAAGUACGUACGCAAAUUUGUGAUCAUAUUUCUGGAUGACAUCUUGGUGUUUAGUGAGACAUUACAGGAGCACGAGGAGCAUCUCAAGCUGGUGUUCGACCUUCUUCGCCAACAUGAGCUCUAUGCAAAGAUGUCAAAGUGUUCAUUCGCUUAGGAGAGCAUCAGCUACUUGGGCCACAUCAUCUCGCGCGAGGGUGUCGCCAUGGACGCGGAGAAGACCCAGGCCAUGCUCAACUGGCCAACGCCGUCCACACCAACCGAGCUGCGGGGUUUUCUGGGCCUCACCGGCUAUUACAGAAAAUUCGUCGCCCGCUAUGGCAUCAUCGCCAAGCCACUGACCAAUCUACUCACCAAGAAGGGCUUCGAGUGGACAGCCCAGGCUCAGACCGCAUUUGACCUCCUCAAGCGCACCAUGGCCAGCGCCCCAGUGCUCUCACUGCCGGAUUUUGCCAAGCCGUUCAGUAUUGAGACUGACGCAUGUGACACCGGCGUCGGCGCAGUGCUCGUCCAGGAAGGCCACCCUGUGGCAUACUUCAGCAAAGCCUUGGGGGUGCGCAAUCAGAAGUUGUCAGCUUAUGAAAAGGAGUUUUUGGCAGUGAUGAUGGCCGUGGACAAGUGGCGAGCAUACUUGCAGCGAGGUCAGUUCACCAUUGUCACAGACAACAAAAGUCUCUGCAACCUUGGCGAACAACAGCUUGAAACUGAUCUGCAACGAAAAGCUAUGUCAAAACUGGUCGGCCUACAGUUCAAAUUUCAGUACCGGCGCGGCAUGGACAAUGGGGCCGUAGAUGCCCUCUCCAGGGUGGGAGCCGCGCUCGACAUUGCAGCGCUAUCUCUCUGCCAGCCAACCUGGGUUCAGGAAGUGGCAAACUCGUAUGCAACCGAUGCUGAUGCACAAGAGAAGCUGACACGUUUGGCCGUUCACAGCCCAGAUGAGGAAGGAUUUGAACUAUACAAGGGCUUGAUCCGUCGCCAAGAUAGGCUCUGGAUUGGCAGCAAUACGGCUCUCCGCACCAAGUUAAUCAGCGCCUUGCAUGACAGCGCGGUGGGUGGGCAUUCAGGGAACACAACCACUUACCAGCGCCUAAAAAAGCGAUUCCUCUGGCCCUGCAUGAAGCGUGAUGUGGAGGAUUACGUCAAGCAAUGCCUCGUCUGUCAACAGGCUAAACAUGAGCAUCGUCGACCAGCCGGGCUGCUGGCGCCCUUACCUGUUCCUACGGUGCCAUGGCAAGAGCUCACUAUGGACUUCGUCGAAGGGCUGCCGAAGUCCGAGGGCCAUGAUGCAAUCAUGGUGGUGGUUGACAGGCUGACAAAAUUUGCUCACUUCAUUCCUCUUCGUCACCCGUUUAACGCCGCGCAGGUGGCUCGUGUCUUCUGGGACAAUGUGGUCAAGCUGCAUGGUAUCCCAAACUCCAUCGUCUCCGACCGCGAUCGAGUCUUCACAAGCGCGCUUUGGCGGGAGCUGUUCACCACGGCGGGCACCAAAUUGCUGUAUUCAACGGCGUACCACCUCCAGACGGACGGCCAGAGCGAGCGUGUCAACCAAUGCAUGGAGAUGUACCUUCGAUGCGCCAUCCAUGACGCUCCUCGCCGCUGGCGUCGCUGGCUGCUGACGGCGGAAUUCUGGUAUAACUCCUCGUUUCACUCAUCCAUCAAUUGUACUCCAUUCAAAGCUCUCUAUGGGGUCGAGCCCAAUCUGGGCGGCAUGGCUCUCUGGGACGACAAGGUUGCCCCGGUCCUCGACUCCGAGCAUUGGGACUGGGGGGAGCACACUGCUCGUCUCCGCUCGCAAGUUCUUCGUGCACAGCGCCGAUUCAAGAAACAAGCCGACCGCAACCGGACCGAGCGCUGCUUCGAGGUGGGGGAUUCCGUGAUGCUCAAGCUCCAGCCGUACGCGCAAUCAACUGUCGUCAACCGGCCGUGUGCCAAAUUGGCAUUCAAGUUCUACGGACCGUUCAAGAUCAUCGAGCGCAUCGGCAAGCUCGCGUACAAGCUGGAGUUGCCCGUGGACAGCCGCAUCCACGACGUCUUCCACGUCUCCCAGUUGAAGCCCUACACUCCCAACUACACGCCCGUGUUCGCCGAGCUGCCUCAACCCCCGGAUUUGGCGGCAAGCGACAUCGAGCCAGAGGAAAUUCUCGAACGGCGGCUGGUCAAGCACGGCAACCACUCCAUCGUCCAGCUGCUGAUUCGUUGGUCAUCUUCGCCGACGAGCACUACAUGGGAAGAUUACGAUACUCUCCGCCUCCGCUUCCCACCUUCAGGAAUCUGGCAUAAUGCACCGGCUGGCCAGGACACAGGCCAACCUGAAGAUGACGCGCCUUCUGAAGACGGGGCUCUUUCUGAAGAAGAGGGGCAUGUCACACCUGCAUCUCUCUGAAGAUGCAGUGGACAAGGAAGACGCGUGGGCCAUCGAGCCUUGUAAGCAUGGACCCACGGGCCAGGGCGUGAGUGGAUGUAUUUAGCCUAGUGGAGACAGCGAGAGGGCAUGCGUGUUGUAUGAGCUCUCUGAAACUCACCUAUCUCUCCAUGCUCUCACCUGUAUCUCUCUGUAUCGCACCUUCUUCUUUUGCAAGGAAACCAACAAGGCUCCGAUCUCUCAUCCCCGUCUCUGGUUUUGAUCCUCGAUCUUCCUGGGUUGUUAUAGGGAGGAAGAUGAGCUAAGCUCUAUCAAUGAGAUCUAUUCUUACCUAACCACAAAUCUAGGAGGGGAGGAGUAUAUAGAGUCUAGCCAACAAAGGGGUAAGUGCGGGAAGGGAUACACGGGCCUUUGACCCAGAACUGCAUGCAGGCAGGCGACCAAACAAUCCGGUUGGGUAUGGCCUAUCCUGUUCAGUAUAGCCUGGACAAUCUCGGCCUGGAGCUUUAGCCGACGCAAGCAUUGGCAUCGGAUAGUCCAUGGACUUGUCCGGGUAAUGUAGAGUGGAACCCUAAGUUAAUGAUCUUUUCACACUUGGAGUGGGGAAAGAAAGCAAAUCAAGAGAAGAAUACAAGAUUAUCACUCA